AUGGUGGACCAGUCCAAGCCAAUGGCACCGAUGCCAAGGCCAUAGAGACCAGAACCCAGCUGCUGGGCAAGGAUGGACUGGGGGAAGAUCCAACAGACCCAAGAGAGGGAGGGCCCUGCAUGCAGAUAGAAGGAAAGCAGUUGAAGUAGCUUGCAACCUUGUCAAUUCUUCAAGGAAGCAUGGGGUGUACUGCUACUUAAUUGCCGUUGCCCAGAGUUAUGGUUUGAUCUUUCUGCUGCCGACACCACCAUUUCCUUUCUUUCCAGAUCUACUCACAGGUAAUUUUUUCAGAUCUGAGCCGUCAUAUACUCUCACUUUGAUCUUACAGUUCAGGUGCACUAACAAUUAUAUUACUGCUACACUCAUAUCGAAGUUGAUUCCGUUUAGUAAACAAGGAAACCAUGGUAAGAUCAGUUUGUAUGCCAUGUGAAUGAUUAUUAUCAUCAAGCCCAACAAUUAAGCUUCAGAUGUGAAUCAAAAACACAACAGUUGACAUCAGGUGGAUGAUUUCAUGGAGUGUCCUUUUCUUAUGAUUGACAACAGAGAGAGCUUGAAAAGAAUCUGUGUAAACACAAUUUUUUCUACUUAUUAUUAUUAGAUGAGGCUAAUAUUCAACUUUAAA